rnacentral:rRNA from 1 species
UGAACGCGAAGAACCUUACCCGGGUUUGAACGCAUAUUGACAGCUCUGGAAACAGAGUCUCUAGUAAUAGCAAUUUGCGAGGUGCUGCAUGGUUGUCGUCAGCUCGUGCCGUGAGGUGUCGGCUUAAGUGCCAUAACGAGCGUAACCCUUAUCACUAGUUACUAACAGGUCAUGCUGAGGACUCUAGUGAGACUGCCAGCGUAAGCUGUGAGGAAGGUGGGGAUGACGUCAAAUCAGCACGGCCCUUACAUCCGGGGCGACACACGUGUUACAAUGGUGGGGACAAAGGGCAGCUACCGUGUGAGCGGAUGCUAAUCUCCAAACCCCAUCUCAGUUCGGAUCGAAGUCUGCAACCCGACUUCGUGAAGCUGGAUUCGCUAGUAAUCGCGCAUCAGCCAUGGCGCGGUGAAUACGUUCCCGGGUCUUGUACACACCG